AUCGUUUACUUCGUCAUCCGGACCGUGCGACUUAGACGAAGAAACAGGAAGACACGUAAAUAUGGUGUUCUGGAUACAAACAUAGAAAAUACAGAGUUGACACCUUUAGAACAAGAUGAUGAUGAUGAUGAUAACACAUUGUUUGAUGCCAAUCAUCCUCGAAGAUAAGUAUGUGCCUUGUGGGAAAAUAUUUCAAUUGUGGAGCAACAAAAGAAGGCUGUUUGGAAGGAAUAAGAAGCCAAUAUCAGGGUUGGGGAUAUGAAAUGUAUUAUGACAUCCUUAAUUUGUUGCAAUAAAUACUAACAUUUUACUGUA